rnacentral:piRNA from 1 species
UAGAACAGCAACACUGGUUCCUCCGUG